rnacentral:rRNA from 1 species
ACUACGGGAGGCUGCAGUGGGGAAUAUUGGGCAAUGGGCGCAAGCCUGACCCAGCAACGCCGCGUGAAGGAAGAAGGCUUUCGGGUUGUAAACUUCUUUUCUCAGGGACGAAGAACGUGACGGUACCUGUUUAGAAAGCUCCGGCUAACUACGUGCCAGCAGCCGCGGUAAUACGUAGGGAGCAAGCGUUGUCCGGAAUUACUGGGCGUAAAGGGCGCGUAGGUGGGCGCUUAAGUCAGGUGUGAAAACUCCGGGCUCAACCUGGAGACUGCACUUGAAACUGGGUGUAUUGAGGGCAGGAGAGGAAAGUGGAAUUCCUAGUGUAGCGGUGAAAUGCGUAGAUAUUAGGAGGAACACCAGUGGCGAAGGCGACUUUCUGGACUGUACCUGACGCUGAGGCGCGAAAGCGUGGGUAGCGAACGGGAUUAGAUACCCUUGUAGUC